rnacentral:rRNA from 1 species
UACGUAGGGUGCAAGCGUUGUCCGGAAUUAUUGGGCGUAAAGAGCUUGUAGGCGGUUUGUCGCGUCUGCUGUGAAAUUUCGGGGCUCAACCCCGAACUUGCAGUGGGUACGGGCAGACUAGAGUGUGGUAGGGGAGACUGGAAUUCCUGGUGUAGCGGUGAAAUGCGCAGAUAUCAGGAGGAACACCGAUGGCGAAGGCAGGGUCUCUGGGCCACUACUGACGUGAGAAGCGAAAGCAUGGGGAGCGAACAGG